rnacentral:lncRNA from 1 species
AUAUUUAAAUAUAAAUAAUAUGUAUUAAUAUAGUACAAUUAAUAAUUUUAUAAUAAAAAUAAUGUAUUAUAAUAUAUAACAUAUUAUAUUUAUAUAAUUUAGUUUAAUUCAAUUUAUAAGUUUAAUUAAAUUUGAAAUUAAGCAUUGGAAUAGCACUAUUCCACCAAAAUGGUGGAAUAGCAAAUUACUUGCUAUUCCGGGAUAACCGAGAAUAGCAAGGUUUGACCGGGAUAAAAUAUCCCGGCUAAAUUUCACCCCGUUUGGCGGAAUAGCGGGGAUAACUUUCGUUAUCCCCGCUUAUCCCGCGAUCCAAACGGGGCCU